AUUGAACGCUGGCGGCAUGCCUUACACAUGCAAGUCGAACGGCAGCACGGGUGCUUGCGCCUGGUGGCGAGUGGCGAACGGGUGAGUAAUACAUCGGAACAUACCUUAUCGUGGGGGAUAACGCAGCGAAAGCUGUGCUAAUACCGCAUACGCCCUGAGGGGGAAAGCGGGAGAUCGAAAGACCUCGCGCGAUUAGAGCGGCCGAUGCCUGAUUAGCUUGUUGGUGGGGUAAAAGCCCACCAAGGCGACGAUCAGUAGCUGGUCUGAGAGGACGAUCAGCCACACUGGGACUGAGACACGGCCCAGACUCCUACGGGAGGCAGCAGUGGGGAAUUUUGGACAAUGGGGGCAACCCUGAUCCAGCAAUGCCGCGUGAGUGAAGAAGGCCUUCGGGUUGUAAAGCUCUUUUGUCAGGGAAGAAACACCGGCUCUAACACAGUCCGGGAAUGACGGUACCUGAAGAAUAAGCACCGGCUAACUACGUGCCAGCCGCCGCGGUAA
rnacentral:rRNA from 1 species